GAGCAUAAAUUUCAGCUGUUCUCAGUCUUGCUGCCUUUUUACCGAAGACUUCCGACAGCAACAUGAAGUUGGGGGGCUUCCUCCUUCUGGUGAUGCUUCUCACCCUCAGCUCAGAGGUACAGGAGCUCCAGGCUGCGGUAAGACCAUUGAGACUUCUAGGAACCUGCGUUGAGCUCUGCACAAAUGACGAGGAUUGUGAUCUAGGAGAGCACUGUGUCAGCAAUGGGUGUGGCCACAUCUGUGCUCCAGCCUAAGGACAGAUGAAGAUUUAUCUUAAGGCUCAUCCUUCUCUAAUAAUUUCUCAUCGCUUCCUAUCUUCAAAGAUAUGACCAGAACUCCUUGACCAGGAAGACAGUUGAAAAUGGGGGCGUGUGUGUGGAGAUUACAAGAGAUGUGUUGGGGAAAGGAAAAAGAGUCAUUUCUUUUAAUAAAUCAUCAUUGUUAAAAGCA